rnacentral:rRNA from 1 species
AUUGAACGCUGGCGGCAUGCCUUACACAUGCAAGUCGAACGGUAACGCGGGGCAACCUGGCGACGAGUGGCGAACGGGUGAGUAAUGCAUCGGAACGUGCCCAGUAGUGGGGGAUAGCCCGGCGAAAGCCGGAUUAAUACCGCAUACGACCUACGGGUGAAAGGGGGGGAUCGCAAGACCUCUCGCUAUUGGAGCGGCCGAUGUCAGAUUAGGUAGUUGGUGGGGUAAAGGCCUACCAAGCCGACGAUCUGUAGCUGGUCUGAGAGGACGACCAGCCACACUGGGACUGAGACACGGCCCAGACUCCUACGGGAGGCAGCAGUGGGGAAUUUUGGACAAUGGGCGCAAGCCUGAUCCAGCCAUGCCGCGUGCGGGAAGAAGGCCUUCGGGUUGUAAACCGCUUUUGUCAGGGAAGAAAUCUUCUGGGUUAAUACCUCGGGAGGAUGACGGUACCUGAAGAAUAAGCACCGGCUAACUACGUGCCAGCCGCCGCGGUAAUAC